rnacentral:rRNA from 1 species
CCUACGGGUGGCAGCAGUGAGGAAUAUUGGUCAAUGUGCGCGAGCCUGAACCAGCCAAGUCGCGUGAGGGAAGACGGUCCUAUGGAUUGUAAACCUCUUUUGUCGGGGAGCAAAAGCCGCCACGUGUGGCGUUCUGAGAGUACCCGAAGAAAAAGCAUCGGCUAACUCCGUGCCAGCAGCCGCGGUAAUCCGGAGGAUGCGAGCGUUAUCCGGAUUUAUUGGGUUUAAAGGGUGCGCAGGCGGAAGGUCAAGUCAGCGGUAAAAUUGAGAGGCUCAACCUCGUCGAGCCGUUGAAACUGGUUGUCUUGAGGUAGCGAGAAGUAUGCGGAAUGCGGGGUGUAGCGGUGAAAUGCAUAGAUAUCGCGCAGAACUCCGAUUGCGAAGGCAGCAUACCGGCGCUCAACUGACGCUCAUGCACGAAAGUGUGGGUAUCGAACAGGAUUAGAUACCCUGGUAGUC